rnacentral:rRNA from 1 species
GGAUUAGAUACCCUGGUAGUCCACACCGUAAACGCUUUCUACUAGCUGUUUGUGUGAUUUAUCACGUGGGUAGCGUAGCUAACGCGCUAAGUAGACCGCCUGGGGAGUACGGCCGCAAGGUUAAAACUCAAAUGAAUUGACGGGGGCCCGCACAAGCGGUGGAGCAUGUGGCUUAAUUCGAUGCAACGCGAAGAACCUUACCAGGACUUGACAUCCAGAGAACUUAGCAGAGAUGCUUUGGUGCCUUCGGGAGCUCUGAGACAGGUGCUGCAUGGCUGUCGUCAGCUCGUGUUG